UCCCAGUCCCCAUUCCUUCCAGUGUUUAGCAUGACAUCACUGAACCUCAGGCACGCUCCGUACACAGGCCACUUUCUUUGGUAGGUCUUGCCUGUCACAGUUUACCCUCUGUCCAACUGAGAACAGAGAACCAGCAGAGAAGUGCCCAUUGUCCCGAGCCAGAGCUGCGGGGAGGAGGUUAGUGAAGGCUGCCGGGUGGACAAAUGCUCUUUCUCCGGCUGGCCCUCCAAUUGGAUUUCCCCUGUCCUGGUUCCCCCCCUGCUCUGGCCGGAUGUCGCUGGGGGCAGAUGAACAGUUUUAGUGGCUUCUGUUGUUCCAGAAAGCCCUCAUGGAGAAACCUGCAGACUUCCAGUGUGAGAUGCUUGGCUCUCCAGCCUUGGGAGCUUCCUGGUGCUCUUCGUUCUUCCAGCUGCAGUUCUUCCUCCUGGACCUCUGCACACUCACCUUGUGCUGUAGACUCCACAGACACUGCUCUUGGCACUUUCUGGAAGCCUUCGGCUGCCUCCUGAAGGACGAGUGAACUGAGGGCGUAGAGCCUCAGGGCUUUCUUUCUCCAGUUGUCUUGUAGCUGCUAUUCCUGGGUGCCCGGAACUGGGAGCUCACUCUAAAGAAACAAGUGGACCACCAAGAAGAGGCCUUUACUGACCCUACACAGGGAUAGGAUUAUAUAGGAGAAGCCCCCUAGAUUAAUCUGUCUACACUGAGAAGUAGUCUGCUCGUCCGAAACAGGACGGGGUGGGGGGGGCGGCUAUAAUGUGGUCAGCAGUGGACUUGAAUGUGCAUAGCUCCCAUUCACACUUCUCUUAAGACUCAUUUAAGAGCCAGCUGGCAGGGCACGCCUUUAAUCCCAAAACUUGGGAGGCAGAAGUGGAGCUCUGCAAGUUCAGGGCCAGCCUGGCCUACAGAGUUAGUUCCAGGACAGCGAGAGCUGUUAUACAAACCCUUUUGCAAACAAACAAACAAAAUAAAAAAACACAGAGAGACAGAAAGACAGACAGACAAAGACUCAUUUAAGGACCAAUCACAAGCCUGGCACUUCACCAGUCAGGCACUUCAGGUGGUUCUUUGUCAAGCUGCUCCUGUGAGCCGGGUCAUCUGAGGUUCUACUGAGGCUUGCCUGGCCUGGACCGGAGUUUCCCAAGGUGCCUGGGGUGGUGGUGACUGAGGUCAGAGCCAUGGCUGCAGAUAUGGCUCCUCCCUACCUCCUCUGGAGGCCUGGCUGACUCCGAUCCUCCCUGCCAUUCUGGUAGUAACAGUACAGUACAGCUUCACGAAGCCUUUCUCCGUGAUGCUGCCCAUCAGUCCCAGUGGUACCCACUGAUGGUCCUGAUGCUGUGCCUGGCCCUGAUGCUGUGCCUGGCCCUGAUGCUGUGCCUGGCUCUGAUGCUGUGCCUGGCCCUGAUGCUGUGCUUUGUCCUGAUGCUGUGCCUGACCCACUGUGACCACCUGCUGGACCCUUUGCUCAGAGUCUCUAACUGCUCCUCUGGUUUUCAUCUCCGUUGCUCAUAUCCCACCCCACAGUGUCCUGUCCUCUGCUGCCAGAAAGCUGACAUGGGAGGAGACCAGGCCAAGAGAACCAGGCACCGGACAAGGCUCUGUCUUCUUCCUUAGGAUACCGCCACACUCCUACGAAUGAGGACAUCCUGUCCCCACAGAUAUGACCUGUUCCCCCUGCACCACUACCCCCCACAACCUGUAUCUAAGGAUCUCCUUCACUUUCGCCUUCACGACCCAGUCAAGGUGUCAAGUAGUUCAUAGGAUCUCGCUCUCAGUAGAGCUCAACGUUUGAAGCGUUUGUUAGAGAACGGAUCAAUGCUGAGCCGACCACUGACCCUUUACCACCACGGAUUCACUUGGCUUUCAAAAUCCAAGGCUGCAGGCUGGAGUCAGCUCUUCAGACUUGACUUACCCACCAGGGACAAAGCUCUCAAUAUUCCAUAUCCAAGCUGUGGUAGCUCCAUAGCAGGUGGCGGCCCUUGGGGAUCUCCUUUGUGUUACAGCCUCACCUGAGAAUGGGGUGGGUACCACAGCACCCGUGGUUUACACCGGAGAUGGAUGAAGAAGGUCCUACAGGGAACUCUGAGUGGUAAAGUCCACGGACGGUUGUGGCAGAGAAGGAGCUAUUUCGAGGUUCGUUCUACACGAUGCUGCUCAGGGAAAUGAGAGUAGCCAUGGCCCUGCAGGGUACUCGGUGUUGGGGUCUCCUGACACUGACUUUGGUUGCAUAUUCUUGGGAAGAGGAGGCUAAUGAGCCCUAACAGAAGACAAAGACACCACACACCCUCAACAGCAUGCACAGAGUUGUCUUGUUGCUUAAAUAUUAGAAUAGGGAGUGCCGAUACCACCCCGCACUGCCACAAAGCUGUGGGUGCAACCCCCAGGGUCUACUCUACUCCAUCGGUCCGAGAGUGUUUGGUGAAAAUGUGGGCUGUGAUAAGUGGAUAUUAACCCAGAAACUUAGACUACCCAAGAUACAAUUUGCAAAACACAUGAAACUCAAGGAGAAGGAAGACCAAAGUGUGUAUACUUCGUUCCUUCUUAGAAUGGGGAACAAAAUACCCAUGAAAGGAGUUACAAAGACAAAGUUCGGAGCUAAGACAGAAGAAAGGACCAUCCAGAGACUGCCUCACUCGGGGAUCCAUCCCGUAUACAACCACCAAACCCAGACACUAAUGCAUAUGCCAGCAAGAUUUUGCUGACAGGACCCUGAUAUAGCUAUCUCUUGUGAGGCUAUGCCAGUGCCUGGCAAAUACAUAAGUGGAUGCUCACAGUCA